GAGUUUGGAGUCUGAUCCCUGCUCACUGAGAUUGAUAGAAGGUUUCUUCUUUCAAUCUCAGUGAGCAGGGAUCAGACUCCAAACUC
rnacentral:miRNA from 1 species